rnacentral:rRNA from 1 species
GACGAACGCUGGCGGCGUGCUUAACACAUGCAAGUCGAACGCUGAAGCUCAGCUUUUGUUGGGUGGAUGAGUGGCGAACGGGUGAGUAACACGUGAGUAACCUGCCUCCUUCUUUGGGAUAACGCCCGGAAACGGGUGCUAAUACUGGAUAUUCACUGGUCUUCGCAUGGGGGUUGGUGGAAAGGGUUUUUCUGGUGGGGGAUGGGCUCGCGGCCUAUCAGCUUGUUGGUGGGGUGAUGGCCUACCAAGGCUUUGACGGGUAGCCGGCCUGAGAGGGUGACCGGUCACAUUGGGACUGAGAUACGGCCCAGACUCCUACGGGAGGCAGCAGUGGGGAAGAUUGCACAAUGGGCGAAAGCCUGAUGCAGCGACGCCGCGUGAGGGAUGGAGGCCUUCGGGUUGUGAACCUCUUUCGCUCAUGGUCAAGCCGCAACAAUGGUUGUGGUGAGGGUAGUGGGUAAAGAAGCGCCGGCUAACUACGUG